AACGAACGCUGGCGGCAUGCCUAACACAUGCAAGUCGAACGCCUGUAGCAAUACAGGAGUGGCAGACGGGUGCAUAACACGUGGGAACCUACCCUUGGGUUCGGAAUAACCGCGGGAAACUGCGGCUAAUACCGGAUACGUCCUAUGGGAGAAAGAUUCAUCGCCCUUGGAGGGGCCCGCGUCGGAUUAGCUAGUUGGUGAGGUAACGGCUCACCAAGGCGACGAUCCGUAGCUGAUCUGAGAGGAUGAUCAGCCACACUGGAACUGAGACACGGUCCAGACUCCUACGGGAGGCAGCAGUGGGGAAUAUUGGACAAUGGGGGCAACCCUGAUCCAGCAAUGCCGCGUGGGUGAUGAAGGCCUUCGGGUUGUAAAGCCCUUUUGGCAGGGACGAUGAUGACGGUACCUGCAGAAUAAGCCCCGGCUAACUUCGUGCCAGCCGCCGCGGUAA
rnacentral:rRNA from 1 species